rnacentral:rRNA from 1 species
GUGUCAGCAGCCGCGGUAAAACCGGCACCUCAAGUGGUCAGGAGGAUUAUUGGGCCUAAAGCAUCCGUAGCCGGCUAUGUUAGUUCUCGGUUAAAUCCAUGUGCUCAACACAUGGGCUGCCGAGAAUACUGUAUAGCUAGGGAGUGGGAGAGGUAGACGGUACUCGGUAGGAAGGGGUAAAAUCCUUUGAUCUAUCGAUGACCACCAGUGGCGAAGGCGGUCUACCAGAACACGUCCGACGGUGAGGGAUGAAAGCUGGGGGAGCAAACCGGAUUAGAUACCCGGGUAGUCCCAGCUGUAAACUAUGCAAACUCAGUGAUGCAUUGGCUUGUGGCCAAUGCAGUGCCGCAGAGAAGUCGUUAAGUUCGCCGCCUGGGAAGUACGUACGCAAGUAUGAAACUUAAAGGAAUUGGCGGGGGAGCACCACAAGGGGUGAAGCCUGCGGUUCAAUUGGAGUCAACGCCAGAAAUCUUACCCGGAGAGACAGCAGAAUGAAGGUCAAGCUGAAGACUUUACCAGACAAGCUGAGAAGUGGUGCAUGGCCGUCGCCAGCUCGUGCCGUGAGAUGUCCUGUUAAGUCAGGUAACGAGCGAGAUCCCUGCCUCUAGUUGCCACCAUUACUCUCAGGAGUAGUGGGGCGAAUUAGCGGGACUGCCGCAGUUAAUGCGGAGGAAGGAGGGGGCCACGGCAGGUCAGUAUGCCCUGAAACUCUGGGGCCACACGCGGGCUGCAAUGGUAGUUACAGUGAGUUCCUAAUCCGAAAGGAGGAGGUAAUCUUCAAACGCUACCACAGUUAUGAUUGAGGGCUGCAACUCGCCCUCAUGAAUAUGGAAUCCCUAGUAACUGCGUGUCAUUACCGCGCGGUGAAUACGUCCCUGCUCCUUGCACACACCGCCCGUC